AAGGCUCAGUAACACGUAGUUAAUCUACCCUUAGGUCAGGGAUAAUCCCGGGAAACUGGGUCUAACACCUGAUAUUGGUAAAGUACUGGAACGUACUUACCAUGAAACUCGUGCCUAAGGAUGAGACUGCGCAUGAUUAGCUUGUUGGUGGGGUAACUGCCUACCAAGGCGAUGAUCAUUACGGGCUCUUAGCGGAGUUGCCCGGAGAAGGAAUCUGAGACACUAUUCCUAGCUCUACGGAGUGCAGCAGCAGCGAAUCAUUUACAAUGCACGAAAGUGUGAUAAUGCGAGCCAAAGUGUAUUUCUUUUUGAAAUACUUUUACCGAGUGUAAAAAAGUCGGAGAAUAAGGACUGGGAAAGACUGGUGCCAGCCGCCGCGGUAAUACCAGCAGUUCAAGUCGCAUCCCUUUUUAUUGGGUCUAAAACAUCCGUAGCUUGUUUACUAAGUCUCUUGUGAAAUCUCAUGUCUCAAAUAUGAGGCUUGCGGGAGAUACUGGUAAGCUAGAGAUCGGUAGACGUAAGGAGUACGCCGGGGGUAACGGUUAAAUGUGUUAAUCCUCGGUGGACUAACGAUGAGCGAAGGCACCUUACGAGGACGAAUCUGACAGUGAGGGAUGAAGGCCAGGGGCGCAAAACGGAUUAGAUACCCGUGUAGUCCUGGCAGUAAACACUGCUCACUAAACAUCGGGCCCUCUUCGGGAGGAUUCGGUGCUGAAGCGAAGGCGAAGAGUGAGCUACCUGGGAAGUAUAGUCGCAAGAUCGAAACUUAAAGGAAUUGGCGGGGGAGCAC
rnacentral:rRNA from 1 species